UGUGUGUGUGUACGAGCAGAGGAGAAGAAAAGAAGGGGGAGCCCUUCUCAAACCCUAAGCAACGAAUUGGAAGGAUUCUGGCCGAAAUCGAACCUGCAUGAACCUUAAUAGUGAUAAUCUAAGCAAGAUGAACGUGUCAAGGAGAGCUCAAGCAUAGGAGGAUAACGGGUCAAGAUAAGGCAAGGUGACAAAUACACUUAUUGGAGUACUCAAGGUAAGUGAUUUCUGUAAUCACUUCUUAUUUUAUUUAAGUAAAGUAGCGUUAGUUGAUUAAGCAUGAUGAGGUUUGAAGUUUCAUAUGGUUUUGGCCGUAUGAAAUUGGUAAUUUUAGCUUAGUAGACCGAAUGGGACAAUAUAAGGUUGUAAUGAUAUGACGAAUAAUGUCUAUGUAAUGGCUACGGUAUGUAACCGGGUAAUGGCUAAAAUUUGCACAUAAGUGCACCAACCGAGAAUGGGGACUUAGGUUAAUGGGUCAAAGUGAAGGUAUACUUUAGCACGAAACGUUUGUACAAGCAAUGUCGAUAGUAUUUCAUGUGCCCGGUUAGUGUAAGGUGUUAUAACAUUAACAUUAUGUGAGCCUUAAGUGUAAACAUAUGAGUUGUUGAUAAAUGCAUGACGGGUCGAAUAAUUCGUAAUGAAUAAUAAGCCGAAAAUGUAUAAGUUAAGAAUUUCCUAACCCGGAUGUUGGAUUUUAAGUUCACAUAAUAGAAUGUUAGUUUACAAUCAUGCAGGAAGAAACGUGAGGUUAAUCGGGUAAACGGUUUAAAAGCUAUGCAAGUUUUUGUGCGUGCGAACGACAAAACAACACAGCAGAAAAAUGGCAA
rnacentral:lncRNA from 1 species